AUCGCUUCUCAGCCUUUUGGCUAAGAUCGAGUGUAGUGUUUGUUCUUAUCAGUUUAAUAUCUGAUACGUUCUCCAUAAAGGAACCAUAUAUUAAAUUGAUUUUUGGAAAACGCAGAUGGAAUAGGAACUUGUUUCGUCCACUCCACGCAUCGACCUGGUAUUGCAGUAUGUCCAGCAACGGUGAAACUUCC